AUGGAAGGCUUCGCCAUGGGUAACCCGUUAUCAGCCACCCUGUGCGAGUUUUUCAUGGAAGACCUAGAACAAAAAGCCAUAGCCACCGCCCCCCCAAACUGCAAAAUAAAAUUAUGGAAACGCUACGUGGACGACAUACUGGAAAUCAUACCAAAAGGUCAAACAGAAACACUAACACAACACUUAAACAACAUUGACGACACAGGCAGCAUAAAAUUCACUUAUGAGUCAGAAACAGAAGGCAGUAUAACAUUUAUGGAUAUGAAAAUCACCAGGCAGACCGACGGGACCCUAAACUUAAACACAUACAGGAAACCAACACACACAGACCAAUAUCUAUUAUGGACAUCAGAACACCCCACCAUACACAACAUGUCAGUAAUCAGAACAUUAUAUCACCGAGCAAACAUAAUAACAGAAGAGAGAGACCGUAAACAAGAGGACAAACACAUAAAACACGCUUUAAAGACCUGCAGAUACCCAACAUGGGCAAUAAACAAAGGAAAACAACAAACAACAACAGAAAGAAAAGAACAACCAAAGCAACGAACCAGAAACCCAGAAAGACAAGAACCAAAACCAGUGAUAACCCUACCAUACAUCAGAGGCAUAACGGAAAAAAUAAGAGCAACAAUGAAAGAACACAACAUAAACACACCAACAAAACCAUACACAACAGUUAGAAACAGACUAGUACACCCAAAAGACAAGAUACCAGCUGGACUUAAAUGUGGAGUCGUUUACGAAAUCCCAUGCAAACUCUGCAAUAAAACAUACAUAGGAGAACCCGGACGCCAACUCAACACACGGACAAUAGAACACAGAAAGGAGUGCGAGAAAGAGGCAAAUCGAAAACACACAAGAGCAGCAAAAGAAGAAGCAGAAAGUACAAUAAAGAAGUCAGCCGUAACAGAUCACUGCACAAGAGAAAACCGUGUAAUGGACUGGGACAACACAAGGAUCAUAAACACCGAACAACAGAAACACAAAAUAUGGAUAAAAGAAGCUAUAGAGAUAAGGAGACGUGGAUGCAGGACCAUGAACAGAGACGAUGGAGUUUACACGUUGGAUCACACACGGGACUGCAUCAUCGGAGAGGGGAGAGCGGGCAGCAGAGGUCCACAACGUCCUCUGCUGCUCGCGGAUAAAAAGAGGAAGUGA
rnacentral:lncRNA from 1 species